CAGCGCCUGCGCAUGCGCAGCGGCAGCAACGGCGGCGCGCCAUCUCUCCGCGUCGAUUUGAAUUCUCAACGGCUGCGCCAGGCAAGUCAACGCUUGUUGCUGCUGGUGAGCUGCCUGCACCUUGGUGUCUGUGUAUUCGUCUCGACUUUGUGGCAUCACACGUCAACUACACUGAACGCGGGUGUCAUAGACUGCCAGGGAAUUUUCAUGAAAACAGCCAGGGAAAGCUUGGAAAAACAUCAGGGAAAUUGAAAAUGACAACAUAGCAUGCACCUGCAGCACCUUCGGAACGGCUGACACGAAGGUCAAGGCCAGCCAGGCAACCGUGCUUGCCAAGGGGAAGCAGCUUUA